rnacentral:rRNA from 1 species
AUUGAACGCUGGCGGCAGGCUUAACACAUGCAAGUCGAGCGGAGAUGAGGUGCUUGCACCUUAUCUUAGCGGCGGACGGGUGAGUAAUGCUUAGGAAUCUGCCUAUUAGUGGGGGACAACAUUCCGAAAGGAAUGCUAAUACCGCAUACGCCCUACGGGGAAAGCAGGGGAUCUUCGGACCUUGCGCUAAUAGAUGAGCCUAAGUCGGAUUAGCGGGUUGGUGGGGUAAAGGCCUACCAAGGCGACGAUCUGUAGCGGGUCGGAGAGGAUGAUCCGCCAAACUGGGGAUGAGACACGGGCCAGACUCCGACGGGAGGCAGCAGUGGGGAAUAUUGGGCAAUGGGCGGAAGCCUGAUCCAGCCAUGCCGCGUGUGUGAAGAAGGCCUUUUGGUUGUAAAGCACUUUAAGCGAGGAGGAGGCUACCUGGAUUAAUACUCUAGGAUAGUGGACGUUACUCGCAGAAUAAGCACCGGCUAACUCUGUGCCAGCCGCCGCGGUAAGAC